GACCAUGGUCAACCGCCCUCUUCCACACGACCAAUUCAAGUAUGUGAAGUGCAAGUUUAGUAAUUAGUGAAUGUGGAAAUCCUCCAUUAGUUCGUUUUGCUCCACGUGUAUUUCACUCAUUAUUUAUCAACUCUACAGCGACGUACAUUUGGAUGCCAGGCUACUUUCCAAAUACUCCUCAGACUAUUAAGUGUCUCAUUCACGGCAACUGGUCAUUGCCAUUACCUUCCUGUGCAUCAGGUAAAAGAACAAAAAUUUACUGCAUUCAUCUUCAUGUUGUUCUGAGUAGUUGGUUCAUGUGACAUCCCAUAAGAAAGAUUAAAUCACGCAUUCACUAAACUGUCGAACGAUACACGACAACCAAUCGCUAGCAAAGUUUAUUAUAUAUGCGAUAAUGGUUAUGAGAAACAAGGCAAAAACGAACUAAUUUGCAAUUCAAAAACCGAAUGGGAAGAACAAAUCAUUUGCAAUGAAUUACAAUGCAGUCAGAUGCCUCAUGUAGAAAAUGAAAUUGUCAAUGGAAAUAGAUACAAUGCAACAUUUUCAUGUCUUUAUGGGUAUCGACUACUAAACAGAGUCAGUGCAUACUGUGGAAAAACAGUACGCGCAGAUAUCCUAAUCAGAGACCCAAAUGUCAAGUUAUGCGGUGCGCAAACCUCAAAUCAGUGUUAAAUGGGAAAGAACAAACGUUUGAUCUGACGGUGAACAGCACUAUGCACUAUGCUUGUAAGACAGUAUACCUAAGAAAGGGCAUCAAGUCACGAACAUGUCGUGCCAACGAGAUCCCUGCCAAUUGGGACCCCCUUGAGCACAUAAGUACUGUCUCGUGCAAAGGUUUGACUCUACUAGAAAGUACCGUUUUCUAUAAUUUUAUAUAUUUUUAGCAAAAUAUUAAUUAUUUGUCAG